AUUUUAUUAACCUGUUGUACUACGGUAUAUAGGGGUUUACUUGUGGUUACAUGACAAUACAUGCAUGCUGGAUAUUUUAGGAACACCACCUGGAUUACAGUUGUAGGAUGCAAGCAUGGGAAUAUGUGUGGUCCACUAGGCAUUUGUUCUGUGAGUAUAUCCAAUUCACACCUUGACACAUGGACACUCCACACAAAUAAGUACGCUUGCUCCAGCUCUAUGUUUUAAAAAGGGUUAACUACAACUUCUCCGUAAUAGAAGGAAUGUAGUUUUCAAUGCACAAUUUUAACUUUAUUAUCUCAUCCUAAGCAGAGGGGAGUGGGUUUUGUGAGCUGUAGAAAUAUGCAAUUUUGUCAAACUGCUUAAAAUGGUUAAAAGAACACUAUAGGGUCAGAAACACAAAUAUAUAUUUCUGACCCUACAGUGAGGCAACUGUCUCAUUCAAAGUUAAAACUUUUAAUUGAGACAUUAGUCUCAAAGUGAUGCAUGUCCCUCUUAAAGGGACACUGUAAUCGCUAUAACCAGUUCAUCUCUUUGAAUUGGUUAUAGUGUCUGGAGUGGCACUGGCACUGUCCCUUUAUUCAGUGUUAAAUCAUGUUUAAGCAGUCUAAAACUGAACACUGGCCACCCACAGCCCAGCCCCUUAUGUAGGUGUGGCUAAGGCAGAGAUGACCCACUUCCUUGUAUUCACACCCAUUCACACCAUCAGUUAGAGCUAUGAUAGGCUCAAAGCAGUCAGCUGAUACUCUCAGCCAAUCACAGCUGUCCAUUGCUGCUCAGGCUAAUACUUCCUCAUUUGCAAAAGCAGCACAGAGGGGAUGGGCUACCGAGGACUCUUGUUUAGCAUUAUGACAUAAAUACAUUAAAAACUGUUUAAUGCUGAAUGGAAUUAUGGAACUUGGGGACUCCAGACACUAUAAUUAGUUUAAUGAGAUGAAGCAGACACAGUGCCUACAGUGUCCCUUUAAGCUUGACUGCUAAUGGAGCCAUUCUCAAUGAACUGAUAGUGGUUACAGUGUUUUUGAAUGUAUA